rnacentral:lncRNA from 1 species
AUGUUGCUAAUUAUUAUGCCGCACACUGUGGGUAGGGUGCCAAUGAGGGGGCCAUGGCACGGAGAAGGAAUCAUGUUAGAAGCAACGUUGGGACUGCUGUCUAAACACUGCGUGCUCUUGUUCUUCUGCAGGGAGGAAACAGACUGCUCUCUGAGAGGCAGCAUGGAUCCACUCAGCGAAUAUGACACUCACCCUGCCAGGCACUUGUCGAGGUCCUGAGAAUACUAUGAUCAAGAAGGUGAACCGGAAGGACAAGGUUCCAGCUACCAUGGGGUUUAUGGUCUAUGAUAAACCAGUAAACAGACAAACAGAAACAACGAUAACUUCAGCAAGUGAUGUGUAUUCUAAAGAAAAUGAACAGCAGUGUGCCAGAGAGUGCUGACGGGGAGGGCUGGGAUCAUGCUCAGGUAAGAUGAGGGGGCAAGCCUCUGAGAAGCUGGCAUCUGAGACCUGAUUGAAAUGAGAAAGUGACCUAUGGGGAUCUUUAGGGUAAGGGUGUUCCAAGCCAAGAGAAGAGUAAAUGCAAAAGUCCUAGGGCAGGUGCGUGCUUGGUGUGUUCUAGGAACUUUAGAGAGCGCCACCUUAGCUAGAGUGGAGUUAGGCAGGGGCGAAACAGAGUGGUGGGAGUGCAGGGCAGUAGUUAGAAGCUGAAGUCAGUAAGGGGGUGCGGAGUUCUGCAGGAAGAGGAGGUUGCUAAGGAUGACAGGGUCUGAUUUAGAUUUUUUUUUUUAAAGACAUUUUUGGCUGUCUUGUGGAAAGUAGACUAUAAGAGAAGGGGCAAGAUUGGCAACUGUUGCAGGAUUCCAGGCAAGAGAGAGAGCAUAUUGAAAUCUCCAGUAGCUAGAACACACUGUGACACCUAAUUGCCACUCAAUACAUUUGAGAACACAUCCGGGCAGAAGUGAAACUUACAAUCGUAGGCACCUAGUAAAUGCUCGACACAUGCUUCUUUUGUGAAUCAAUGAGCAGAAUCUGGCUUUCUUGUAGUCACUCUAGGGCAUGAGUUCCUCACAAUAUUUUGGAUCUUUUAAAAAGACUUAAUUUGAGAGUCUGGGUGGCUCAGUUGGUUAAGCGGCUGCCUUUGGCCCCAUUCAUGAUCCCAGGAUCCUAGGUAGAGCCCCACAUUGGGCUCCCUGCUCAGCGGGGAGUCUGCGCCCCUCCCUUGCUUGUGCUCUCUCUCUCUCUCUCAAAUAAGUAAAAAUAAAAAUACUUUGAAUCAUCUUAGCUAGCAGUAUUUCAGAGAGGCAAUAUGUCCAUGAGUUCAUUUUUCCUCUGUGACGCUGCAUAAGCUCCUUUGGGAUAGACGCGAGAAAUCAACUCCACUGCUUCUGUGAUGCUCUCAGCCAGAGCACAGAAAUCCCCAAACCCUUUGCUCUCAUCUAGAUUCAGAUCUGGUGUGCUUCUCGAUGCACUGGUCCAUGGCAGGGACCAGACCUGCUUCAUCGCUGCAUCUCCAGAGCUGAUCACAGUCUGGACAAUUGAAUCAACAGAUGGGUAUCAUGUUGAGUAGACUGGGGAGUACUUGGGUGCUUUGGUGGAAUUCCAGGGUUUUCCUGCUCUCUUCCUGGAGAGCCCAGAACCCUCG